AAAAAGACAAACCUGAUUUUCGUGUCCAACUUUUGACCGUCCGUCUUAUUUAAAAAAAUAUAUAUAAAAAAAAUAAAAAGAUAAGUCACGCAUAAAGUAUUAAUCAUAUUUUAUCAUCUAACAACAAUAAAAAUAAUAAUUAUAAAAAAAAUUCAUAUAAGACGGACAGUUAAACGUUGGCACAGGAAGCCAUAGUUUGAUUUUUU
rfam:Oryza barthii chromosome 5, whole genome shotgun sequence.